rnacentral:lncRNA from 1 species
GAGCUUUGACAAAAACUUAAUUUUCUACUCAGUCGUCUUGUUGUAUUUCAUUCCAGGUUUGAACAAUGCUAACUUUAAAAAAAAAAAAAAAAAAAAAGAGCAAAGGGAAUAAGAAGAAUAGCACUUUCUUCUAGUGAAAAUAUUAAUACUACAACCAGAAGAAGGAUGUGCAAUCCUCAUAAACCACACAAACAUUUGGAAAGAACAAAACCAACUUUGGCUUCAUGAAAUAACCUGUCAGAGAAGAGGCAGCAAAGGCUACAUUUUGUAAAUGCCAGCUGUUAGCUGCUCCGUGCCGGCUGCCCAGAGCCUCGUGUUUAGGACGACCUUCAGACAAGCGUCGCCACCCCACCUACACAUGUAACAGUGCCAGCUCUUUCACGCACUCUUACAGCUGUAUUUUUAUGAAUCCUCCCUGAGAAGGAGAGGGAAGAGCUGAUGAUGAAAGGGUAAAGCUUGCUCCUCGUGACCUGCAGUGAGUGGAAAACAAGGCAGCACUCGCCUAUGUUGCUGUAGAUCAAAUAACUGUAUGGUGUUAUGGGUCUUCAGAUGUUGUGCAAAGUGACUCCAAUAGCAACAGUUCUGCAGUAUGUGAAACACUUGUUAUUACAUCAGCGAUGAUACUGAAGAAAUAACAACACUCAGCAGGGUAAAAAGCUGUGUCAAUAGAUACAAUUUCAGUAGGUUCACAAAAGUGAUUUGGAACAUGCAACAGCAGGAGACCACAGACAGCCACCUUGGGGAACUACUGCCUAGUGUAUACCAGAGCACAUGCAACACCCAACGUCUUCUAAUUAAAAAUAAAAAAUAAAAAAAAGACAGGGUAAGCUUUUUAUUCUGGAUAGCUAUGUGUGAAACGUUCUGUGUGUGUAUACAUCUGUGCAUAUACAUAUAUGUAUGUAGAUAGAUAGAUGAA